UACGAAGGGGGCUAGCGUUGCUCGGAAUCACUGGGCGUAAAGCGUGCGCAGGCGGUGAUGUAAGACAGAUGUGAAAUCCCCGGGCUCAACCUGGGAACUGCAUUUGUGACUGCAUCGCUAGAGUACGGCAGAGGGGGAUGGAAUUCCGCGUGUAGCAGUGAAAUGCGUAGAUAUGCGGAGGAACACCGAUGGCGAAGGCAAUCCCCUGGGCCUGUACUGACGCUCAUGCACGAAAGCGUGGGGAGCAAACAGG
rnacentral:rRNA from 1 species